GGAAGUAAAAAUCGUAACAAGGUUUCCGUAGGUGAACCUGCGGAAGGAUCAUUAUUGUAUAACCGAGGUGCGAGGGCUGUCGCUGACCCGAAAGGUCGUGCACGCCCGAGUGCCCUCUCACACAUCCAUCUCACCCCUAUGUGCACCACCGCGUGGGUCCCCCUUUGGCUUGUUCGGAGGGGGGCUUACGUUUUCACACAAACUUUGUAUGCAGUGUAGAAUGUAUUUUUUGUUUUUGCGAUCACGCAAUCAAUACAACUUUCAACAACGGAUCUCUUGGCUCUC
rnacentral:misc_RNA from 1 species